rnacentral:rRNA from 1 species
UCAAGCAACUAAGCGCAUACGGUGGAUGCCUUGGCAAUUGGAGGCGAUGAAGGACGUUGGAGCCUGCGAAAAGCUCUGGGGAGGUGGCAACCAACCUUUGAUCCAGAGAUGUCCGAAUGGGGAAACCCACCUAACAUAAGUUAGGUAUCUCUUGACUGAAUACAUAGGUCUUGAGAGGCGAACCAGGGGAACUGAAACAUCUAAGUACCCUGAGGAAAAGAAAUCAAACGAGAUUCUCUUAGUAGCGGCGAGCGAACGGGGAUCAGCCAGCAAGUGAUAGCUUUUGUGUUAGUGGAACGGUCUGGAAAGUCCGGCGAUACAGGGUGAUAGCCCCGUACACGAAAACACAAUUGUGGUACUAAGCUUGCGAUAAGUAGGUCGGGACACGUGUUAUCUUGACUGAAGAUAGGG